rnacentral:rRNA from 1 species
AGAUACCCUGGUAGUCCACGCCGUAAACGAUGUCGAUUUGGAGGUUGUGCCCUUGAGGCGUGGCUUCCGGAGCUAACGCGUUAAAUCGACCGCCUGGGGAGUACGGCCGCAAGGUUAAAACUCAAAUGAAUUGACGGGGGCCCGCACAAGCGGUGGAGCAUGUGGUUUAAUUCGAUGCAACGCGAAGAACCUUACCUGGUCUUGACAUCCACAGAACUUAGCAGAGAUGCUUUGGUGCCUUCGGGAACUGUGAGACAGGUGCUGCAUGGCUGUCGUCAGCUCGUGUUGUGAAAUGUUGGGUUAAGUCCCGCAACGAGCGCAACCCUUAUCCUUUGUUGCCAGCGGUCCGGCCGGGAACUCAAAGGAGACUGCCAGUGAUAAACUGGAGGAAGGUGGGGAUGACGUCAAGUCAUCAUGGCCCUUACGACCAGGGCUACACACGUG